UCCAGGGCUUUGCAUAUAUUUAAGAGCUGUUUCUUGUAACAGAAGGUGCUGAUUAGAGAUAACCAGUGUUUCUCCUGCUGAGUUGGUCAGAUGCUGUCAGCCUUUUCCAUAGAGCUACCCUUCUGUCUCCUUCCUUUCAUGGACAGAGUAACAUUUUGUACUGACACAAAGAAAUUCUUCCUUCCCUUGAUCACGAAGACACACACAAAACUAGAGCCUCCUCUUUAACAUUUGCUGUUUUUCUUAAACUUUCUUCUUGUCGUCUGUGAAUCUCUCAUGCUAGGUACACUAGUCAUAAUGUGGCCAAAGUUAAGCACAUUUAUACUGCAAAGAGAAACUUUCCAGCGCUGUGCUAUAGUGGAUGUGUUACAAAAAUUAGACAUGUGUUUCUGUGUGUUGUGGGUGGUGGAAAUAUUCUUCAAAUAGCUGGGCAUUGCUCUGGGAGAGUGAUUCUGUCACCUCAACCUAUUUUCUACCUUAAUAAACUAGUUCCAUGUUUUGCUGUUAAUUUGACUCUAACAAAAAACAUAAUUGAAAGGGUACUGAACUUUGGCAAACCGUAGACAUGCUGUCUUCGUACAUGUUUGCCCCAUAAAAUGACAAUGUCAAUAACAAAAACCAAACUGCCCUUUACCGAGGCUGCUCUUUAUGGGGGUCCUUUCUGAUAUUUUACAAUCAUGCCAUGGAUUGUGUGUAUACACGUGUGCAUGCCAGAGUCUGUAUUUUCUACUGGUGGUAAUAUCUCCACCAACAACCACUGAGCAUAUGACUGAGAUUUGGCUGAUCUUCUCAUGAACUUAAAACAGUCUACAAACAGAGAUAAUCUUGCCAGAUAAUCAGCUCCCAAACUUCAGAUCAUCAAAUAUAUGUGCAACAUAACCUUUUAUGUGAAAUUAUUUGCCCUCUGCUGCGUGAGAAGCAUAAAGCACAACAGCAAUAUAGGACUGAGAUCUGGUUCAAACUAGAGUAUCUUGAGGCUGAGUGUUACCUGUAUUGCAGGUAUAGUUUCAACAGAUUGGAAUCCACCCAUAAAAAGCAUUUUUUAUAACCUGUCUUGUAUUCACAACAAUGAAGUGGUGGAAUUUGUCCUAGAUUAUUCCACAUCAGGCUGCAGGUAGAGGAAUCGUGUUUGGGCACUCUAAAACCUUUCUUCUGGCAUGCUAUUUUAUUAUGGAGAGUGAGAUUCUUUCCCCCCCUGGCACAUCCAGACAGGCAACUCACUCACCCCUCCCUGCAGUUUGUGAUGUUAAGGUUCAGAAAAAAGCCUUAUCAGUUGAAUUUGCCGGAUGUAUAAAUUGGUCUUACAUAAUUUAUACAUCAAUCGAAAUGCAGGGAUCCUGUUCAGGUAUAUGCAAGUACAGGAUUGGCUUGGGAUUUCAUAAUGUGUUGCUCACAUAUUUCCAUUGAAUCAAAUUGUUUAUCCUUCCUUCCUUCCUUCCUUCCUUCCUUCCUUCCUUCCUUCCUUCCUUCCUUCCUUCCUUCUCUCUCUCUCUCUCUCUCUCUCUCUCUCUCUCUCUUCCUUUCUCAUUUCCUGGCUAGAUUGCGUUUGGUCUCUGUGUGUAAACACUGUGUAACUGCUGCCUUCUUCCCAGGCUUUUUAAUGAGACUGUGCCGUCUGAUCAGGUGCAUGCACUCCACUGUCAUUUGCAGCCUGACCUGCGGGUCAGAGGUGAUUUGGGCAGGCUCAGGGAUGCAUACAAAUCACAUCCUCUUGUCUGUCUGUUUUGUUGACUGGUUCUCCUCAGGGUCACGGCUAGCUUAAGUAGCAGCCUGAAGGAUAAAGUGUGCCCUGUCUGAGCUGUAAAACUUUGACUUUGGACCAAUUGCAUCUGACAUACAGCAGCAUGAGGUUUGGCUUAGCCUUUGGAUUCAGAACAAAUCACUGACCACCAAUAGCUGAUAGUGACAUGCAGUUUACGGAAUGUCUCCUUUUCUCUGGCAGCCAUGUAUUUUUCAGCAGCAAGGAACGUGCUUGGAGGUUUCAGCCACUGGGGUGUCAUUGGGGUGUCGCAAGCAUUUCUGACAAACUGCUUCGAAGAAGGGGGAACAGUCACUAAAGAGCUGCAGUUGUGGCAGUGGAUGUACUGGACUGAUGUCUUACUUCUGGACUGGACUGGUGGAGAGCCAACAAACUGAAGCUCAAUCCAGAUGAGGCUGAGGCACUGUUAACUGGUGGUUCCCUAGACCUGAUGGCAUCACAUCUUGAUCCUCAAAUGGGCAUCCCAAACAUUUUCUUGCUGCCAAGUGAAAGAUUAACGCGCACAGCAGAUCUGCAUAACUGUAGGACAAACUGAGAAAUAGGAGAAGCGGAAAGUUACAGAGAACCCGACAGUAACCAACUUGCUACUUUAUUCAUAGCACUUCGCAGCUUGCAUCUCUUCAGCAUCUUCCUACAAGUUAAGCUAUUGAGGAGUGAGCUAUUGCUGGGUGCCAGAAAAUACAAUUCCCU